CAGCAGCCACGGGAAUACGGAGGGUGCUAGCGCUGUUCGGAAUUACUGGGCGUAAAGCGCACGUAGGCGGCUUGGUAAGUUAGAGGUGAAAGCCUGGAGCUCAACUUCAGAAUUGCCUUUAAGACUGCCGAGCUAGCAGGUGAGAGAGGUAAGUGGAAUUCCGAGUGUAGAGGUGAAAUUCGUAGAUAUUCGGAAGAACACCAGUGGCGAAGGCGGCUUACUGGCUCAUACUGGACGCUGAGGUGCGAAAGCGUGGGGAGCAAACAGGAUUAGAUACCCCAGUAGUCCCUGUCUCUUAUAC
rnacentral:rRNA from 1 species